GCGAGGUUAAGUGGAAGACACGGAGCCGCAGCGAAAGCGAGUCUUAAGAGGGCGCUAGUUAGUGUAGGUAGACCCGAAACCGCAGUGAUCUACCCAUGUCCAGGUUGAAGCGCAGGUAAAAUUGCGUGGAGGACCGAACCGGUGAGCGUUGAAAAGCUUUCGGAUGAGAUGUGGGUAGGGGUGAAAUUCCAAUCGAACGCGGAGAUAGCUGGUUCUCCCCGAAAUAGCUUUAGGGCUAGCCUGAGGUAGUAAGUAUAGGCGGUAGAGCACUGAUCGGGCUAGGGGCCGUAAAGGUUACCGAACCCUGUCAAACUCCGAAUGGAUAUACUGUAGAGCCUUGGAGUCAGACUACGAGUGAUAAGAUCCGUGGUCAAAAGGGAAACAGCCCAGACCACCAGCUAAGGUCCCCAAUGUCGUACUAAGUGGAAAAGGAUGUGGGGUUUCAUAAACAACCAGGAUGUUGGCUCAGAAGCAGCCACCAUUUAAAGAGUGCGUAAUAGCUCACUGGUCGAGAGACCCUGCGCCGAAGAUUCCCGGGGCUAAAGUACGAAACCGAAGCUGUGGCUGUAUACGUAAAGUAUACGGGGUAGGGGAGCGUUCCCAUAGGGUAGAAGUCGAACUGGAAGGUUCGGUGGACUUGUGGGAAGUGAGAAUGUUGGUAUGAGUAGCGAAAAGAAAGGUGAGAAUCCUUUCCACCGAAAGCAUAAGGAUUCCUGAGCAACGAUCGUCGUCUCAGGGUAAGUCGGGACCUAAUCCGAGGCAGAGAGCGUAGGAGAUGGACAACUGGUUGAUAUUCCAGUACCGGUAGUAAUUGUUUGAGCAAUGGAGUGACACAGAAGGGCAGGCAAGCAUGCGAAUGGAAGAGCAUGUGUAAGCGUGUAGGGUGGUGCAUAGGCAAAUCCGUGCACUGAAAGCCUGAGGCGUGAUGCGGAGUGAGCAGAGAUGCGAGCGAAGUUGUUGACCCCACACUGUCGAGAAAAGCUUCUAGUGAGAGAGCUACCGCCCGUACCGUAAACCGACACAGGUAUGCGGGGAGAGAAUCCUAAGGUGCGCGGGAGAACCCUCGUUAAGGAACUCGGCAAAAUGUACCCGUAACUUCGGGAUAAGGGUAGCCACUGUUGUGAAGUCCCAUGCGGAUGGAGCAUAGAGUGGUCGCAGAGAAGAGGCCCAAGCGACUGUUUACCAUAAACACAGGUGCCUGCUAAAGCGAAAGCUGACGUAUAGGUGCUGACACCUGCCCAGUGCCGGAAGGUUAAGGAAGGAUGUUCGGAUUAGUCCAAAGCAUUCGACUGAAGCCCCGGUGAACGGCGGCCGUAACUAUAACGGUCCUAAGGUAGCGAAAUUCCUUGUCGGGUAAGUUCCGACCCGCACGAAAGGUGUAACGAUUUGGGCACUGUCUCAACGAGGGACCCGGUGAAAUUGAAAUACCUGUGAAGAUGCAGGUUACCCGCGACUGGACAGAAAGACCCCAUGGAGCUUUACUGUAACCUGACAUUGGGUUUUGAUACAUUACGUACAGGAUAGGUGGGAGGCAUGGAAAGCUGGACGCUAGUCUGGCUGGAGCCGACGUUGGGAUACCACCCUUGAUGUAUUGAAAUUCUAACCGCGAGAGUAACGAAAUCCGGGACAGUGUCAGGCGGGCAGUUUGACUGGGGCGGUCGCCUCCGAAAGAGUAACGGAGGCGCCCAAAGGUUCCCUCAGCGCGGCCGGAAAUCGCGCGAAGAGUGUAAAGGCAGAAGGGAGCUUGACUGCGAGUCAAACACGACGAGCAGGUACGAAAGUAGGGCUUAGUGAUCCGGUGGUACCGAGUGGAAGGGCCAUCGCUCAACGGAUAAAAGCUACCCUGGGGAUAACAGGCUAAUCUCUCCCAAGAGUCCAUAUCGACGGGGAGGUUUGGCACCUCGAUGUCGGCUCAUCACAUCCUGGGGCUGAAGUCGGUCCCAAGGGUUGGGCUGUUCGCCCAUUAAAGUGGUACGUGAGCUGGGUUCAGAACGUCGUGAGACAGUUCGGUCCCUAUCCAUCGCGGGCGCAAGAGAUUUGAAGGGGGCUGCUCCUAGUACGAGAGGACCGGAGUGGACGAACCGCUGGUGUACCAAUUAUCCCGCCAGGGGUACAGUUGGGUAGCUACGUUCGGAAAGGAUAAACGCUGAAAGCAUCUAAGCGUGAAACCAGCCUUAAGAUGAGAUCUCUCAUAGAGCAAUCUAGU
rnacentral:rRNA from 1 species